CUUACCUCACUGUAGGUUCCGUCAGGGUUGCAGACAGGGACGAACACCUGUGGGAAGAGUUUCUUAGCUUGCUGCUCUGUGUAUUUCUUCUCUGCCACACACCUGGACGUAUCUGGAGACACAACACAGUGACAUGUGACUUCUUAGACACAGAAUAAUUCAAGAUGUUUCGGAAGUGGUGGAUCCAUGUGUGUGGUUGGGAACUGGACCAAAAGUUCUACUGGAGUCAUCAGUAUCUCUAUGCCAGUCCAGUGGUAAAACGAUCACAGAUAUCUCUGUGUUGAGUCUGUGUGAGGUGAUGGUGUCCAGCAGGUUGUAAUGCAUCUGUGAAUUUGUGUAUGUCACUGAUCUGUCUCAAAAUUUCAUUUCAAUGGAGACGUAAACUCACUCUCCACUGGGCAAAUCAUUAAAACACUUUCUGUCUGGGAUGGCAUGAGAGGACCAAAAGAAAAGCAAUGAAAAAAGGUGAAUAAGACAAUCCCAAAAUGCAUUGCAGGGAAAAAAAAGAUGGUAUAGCCUCUAUAUAUAUAUAUAUAUAUAUAUAUAUAUAUAUAUAUGCGGAUACCUUAUCAUUCAGUACUGAAAAAUAUUACAAAAAUAUACUCCAGUCUGUUUAAACUUGGCUAUUUUACACAAUACUUGUGUGCAUCAUGUAUUUUAUUGCUUAUUAGAGUCUCAUGGCAUUUGCUUAUCGCCAUGGAUAGAUGUUGGAAAAUGUGUUAAAUAAAUAUGUUAAAUAAAAGAGCAAGGACGCUGAUCGCUGAGUGUUUCCAGAGUGGAAAAAUGUAAAAAUAGGUCAGAGCAAAAGAAAAGGUUCAAUAGCUGUAUUUUAUGCUCGGCAACAAUUAUUAUUUAUGCUUUUAUUAUUUAUAUACUUCCCGUUCCAAUCUAAUCAUUCCUUUUUGGUUUUCUUUUUUUAUUUUAGCAGAACAUAAUUCAUCCUCUUUUCAUACCACUUUUCCUCUCUCCCUCUUUCUCACACCCUUUUUAAUCCCAAUGCAAGAAUGACACAUUGUGCUUACUAGUAGGGAAAGAAAGAGUGUACGGGAGACAGAAAGAAAGACAGCUCUGAGCAGAAGAAGAAGAAAAGAUGCAGGGCACGGGAGUCUUCCGGCUGAGCCCAAUACAAUGAGAGUGUCUGUGAGCUGUUUGACCUUUGACCUCAAUGGGAUUUUUUUCCUUGCCGAUGUGGCCUUGGUUACACCAUCAGAAAAGAAAAGUUGUUCCAGAGGCAUAAAAAGAAUGUUCAAUGACACUGCAAACAUCACCUCAUCGUCAAAUUCAAGAGUGGACAGGAAAUCGACUUGCUUUGUGUUGGGACAUUAUCUGCACAGCUGUGACCCUGUGCCCCUUCCGCUCCGUCAUUCUCAGCGCUGCUGUCAGUGAGCUCGCAGGAGGCCCGACAGAGAUGUCAGGAAACAGAUUCUGCCCGGAGCGCCGCCACAAUCGGCCACGAUGGUCAUCUCUCGAUCUCCGCCAAGACAGAGUUCACAAUCCUCACACCCAGGCCAAGCGAUCGCAGCCAACGCAGUUCAAUUCGGUCACAGUCGGCGUCCUAGACAUGGACAAAACCAACACGGCCACCACAGAGAUCUCAUCAUAGCCAAGACACAUUUAGCGAUUCAACACUUUAACAGUUGAAAUCGACCCAAACGAGACCCCACAAAACCAGACACGGCCAAAUAAUCACCAAUCAAUUCAGCCGCAGCCAAACCGAGACACGUCCAUUGAACAUCUCCGGGGGAAUCUGAAACCACCCACGACCGCUGUCUGUAUGCAGCAUCAACAGCUGGUCACAGAGACACCAGAGGACCACCAGAACCAGUCCAAACAGACCUCAGAUGCUUUCUGCACCAUGAGAACACUGACAGGAUCACAUUCAGGACUGUUUCGGAACAAACAUUACAGACUUGUGCGAUUUCUGUGCCACUAGCAGUGUUAUUUAUUAAUAUAUUUUGUAUUCAUGUUUUCAAAUAGUAUUUGUUGUGUGUUGCAUAUAUGCGGUUGCUAGGUGUUGCAUACAGGCCAAAGCCUAAAGAUAAUUUUAUAAUUUCUCUAUUUUGAAAACCAUAAUUCCAGUCUCCUAGAAAAAGCAUUGUACGGUUUAUAUUUUGCAUUAAGUAUUUUGCUUAAACGUGCAUGGCAAGUUAUGCUCUGAAGUUUAAUAAUGUGAGCAGUUUGUUCAAAUCACUAAUCCUAAGUAUGAACAAUUGAAAUGUUUGCUUUAGCAAGCAUCACUAAUUAAUGAGUAAGAUAAAUGUUCCUAGACAUUUUUUCACUGUGUAGCUUGAUUAAAGGAAAAACGACCCUAUAGGUCGUUUUUUAAGCACCAUAUUACGACCUAUAUUUACGUUUUGAAGUCAUGCGCCCUCUAGUGGGCGUAAAAAUAAUGACAGUGUCAUGUUACGUCUGUCGUCAUGAAAUUACGUAUGACUGUCAUUACCAAUUAAAAUGCGUGGACUUUUUACACUAUUUCUACUAUUUCCAUUUACAAAAAUUAAAUUUUAUUAAUGACUUCACCCCUAAACCUAGUGAUUUAUAGUGCAUUUACACUUUAUGAGCAAAUGCGUUCCCUGGGAUUGAACCCACGAUCGCAUGAUCACAUGAUUGCAUAUUGCUUUUGCAAUGCUCUACCAGCUGAGCUACGCAAAAUUGAAAUAUGAUGCAGAUAAAAGGGAACAAUGCAUUAAAAUGAAAGCAAAUGCUCCUAUGGGUCG